rnacentral:misc_RNA from 1 species
UAAAGUGCGAUAUGUAGUGCGAUUUGCAUGAAUCUGUGAGUCAUCUAAUCUUUGAACGCAACUUGCGCCUCUCUGAGGCAUGUCUGUUUGAGUGCCGCAUACAUCAAUGCAGCAAUGCGAUUUGACUGUUGUCCCCGGACUCGGUCUAAACGUAGCCAGAUAGUGGCCUGUGUAGGCUAGCCCGAGUGCUAAGCAUUCUCUGAGCUAGCCCACAAGGGUUGCCCAAUAUCUAUCUAUUGGCCUCAAAUCAGGCAAGACUACCCGCUGAACUUAA